rnacentral:rRNA from 1 species
UACGGGGGGGGCAAGCGUUGUUCGGAAUUACUGGGCGUAAAGGGCUCGUAGGUGGCCAACUAAGUCAGACGUGAAAUCCCUCAGCUUAACUGGGGAACUGCGUCUGAUACUGGAUGGCUUGAGUUUGGGAGAGGGAUGCGGAAUUCCAGGUGUAGCGGUGAAAUGCGUAGAUAUCUGGAGGAACACCGGUGGCGAAGGCGGUUGCCUGGAGCUUUGCUGACGCUGAUGCGCGAAAGCGUGGGGAGCGAUCCGG